rnacentral:tRNA from 1 species
UUCCUCUGUAGUUCAGUCGGUAGAACGGCGGACUGUUAAUCCGUAUUUCACUGGUUCGAGUCCAGUCAGAGGAGCCAU